AGAGGAGGAAGGUUGAUGUUGUCCUGGAGGAGCGGAGGAAGUUUGAUGUUGUCCUGGAGGAGAGGGGAAAGGUUGAUGUUCUCCUGGAGGAGAGGAGGAGAGGAGGAAGGUUGAUGUUGUCCUGGAGGAGCGGAGCAAGGUUGAUGUUGUACUGGAGGAGAGGUGGAAGGUUGAUGUUGUCCUGGAGGAGAUGAGGAAGGUUGAUGUUGUCCUGGAGGAGAGGAAUGAAGGUUGAUGUUGUACUGGAGGAGAGGAGGAUGGUUGAUGUUGUCCUGGAGGAGAGGAGGAAGGUUGAUGUUGUACUAGAGGAGAGGAGGAAGGUUGAUGUGUUCCUGGAGGAGAUGUGGAAGGUUGAUGUUGUACUGUACUCCUGGGGGAGAGGUGGAAGGUUGAUGUUGUCCUGGAGGAGAGGUGGAAGGUUGAUGUUGUCCCGGAGGAGAGGAGGAAGGUUGAUGUUGUACUAGAGGAGAGGAGGAAGGUUGCUGUUGUACUGUACUCCGGGAGGAGAGGAGGAAGGUUGAUGUUGUCCUGGAGGAGAGGAGGAAGAUUGAUGUUGUACUGUAGUCCUGGAGGAGAGGAGGAAGGUUGAUGUUGUCCUGGAGGAGAGGGGAAAGGUUGAUGUUGUCCUGGAGGAGAGGUGGAAGCUUGAUGUUGUCUUGGGGGAGAGGUGGAAGGUUGAUGUUGUCCUGGAGGAGAGGAGGAAGGUUGAUGUUGUGCUAUAGUCCUGGAGGAGAUGAGGAAGGUUGAUGUUGUCCUGGAGGAGAGGAGGAAGGUUGAUGUUGUCCUGGAGGAGCGGAGGAAGUUUGAUGUUGUCUUGGAGGAGAGGGGAAAGGUUGAUGUUGUCCUGGAGGAGAGGAGGAAGGUUGAAGGUUGAUGUUGUGCUAUAGUCCUGGAGGAGAGGUGGAAGGUUGAUGUUGUCCUGGAGGAAAGGAAAAAUGUUGAUGGUGUACUGGAGGAGAGGAGGAAAGUUGAUGUUGUACUAUAGUCCUGAGGAGAGGAGGAAGGUUGAUGUUGUCCUGGAGGAGAGGAGGAAGGUUGAUGUUGUCCUGGAGGAGCGGAGGAGGUUUGAUGUUGUCCUGGAGGAGAGGGGAAAGGUUGAUGUUGUCCUGGAGGAAAGGAAGAAGGUUGAUGGUGUACUGGAGGAGAGGAGGAAGGUUGAUGUUGUACUAUAGUCAUGAGGAGAGGAGGAAGGUUGAUGUUGUCCUGGAGGAAAGGAAGAAGGUUGAUGGUGUACUGGAGGAGAGGAGGAAGGUUGAUGUUGUACUAUAGUCCUGGAGGAG
ensembl:lncRNA